rfam:Pseudomonas mendocina ymp, complete genome.
CAACGUUCUCAGGGCGGGGUGAGAUUCCCCACCGGCGGUAAUGGUUCGCAGAACCUAGCCCGCGAGCGCUCGCCAUGGCUUCUGCCAGGCGAGGUCCAGCAGACCCGGUGCGAUUCCGGGGCCGACGGUAUAGUCCGGAUAAAGAGAGAGCGGGA